rnacentral:rRNA from 1 species
GUGCCAGCAGCCGCGGUAAUACGUAGGGGGCAAGCGUUGUCCGGAUUUAUUGGGCGUAAAGAGCGUGUAGGCGGCCUAGUAGGUCAGCUGUGAAAACUCGAGGCUCAACCUCGAGCUGUCGGUUGAAACCACUAGGCUAGAGUCCGGAAGAGGAGAAUGGAAUUCCCGGUGUAGCGGUGAAAUGCGCAGAUAUCGGGAAGAACACCCGUGGCGAAGGCGGUUCUCUGGGACGGUACUGACGCUGAGACGCGAAAGCGUGGGGAGCGAACAGGAUUAGAUACCCCCGUAGUCC